rnacentral:rRNA from 1 species
AUUGAACGCUGGCGGCAUGCCUUACACAUGCAAGUCGAACGGCAACAGGUCUUCGGAUGCUGACGAGUGGCGAACGGGUGAGUAAUACAUCGGAACGUGCCCGAGAGUGGGGGAUAACGAGGCGAAAGCUUUGCUAAUACCGCAUACGAUCUCAGGAUGAAAGCAGGGGACCGCAAGGCCUUGCGCUCACGGAGCGGCCGAUGGCAGAUUAGGUAGUUGGUGGGAUAAAAGCUUACCAAGCCGACGAUCUGUAGCUGGUCUGAGAGGACGACCAGCCACACUGGGACUGAGACACGGCCCAGACUCCUACGGGAGGCAGCAGUGGGGAAUUUUGGACAAUGGGCGCAAGCCUGAUUCAGCCAUGCCGCGUGCAGGAUGAAGGCCUUCGGGUUGUAAACUGCUUUUGUACGGAACGAAAAGACUCUGGUUAAUACCUGGGGUCCAUGACGGUACCGUAAGAAUAUGCACCGGCUAACUACGUGCCAGCCGCCGCCGUAAUAC